ACUACGGGUGGCUGCAGUGAGGAAUAUUGGUCAAUGGGGGAGAUCCUGAACCAGCCAAGCCGCGUGAGGGAAGACGGCCCUAGGGGUUGUACAUCUCUUUUGUCGGAGAACAAACCCCGGGACGUGUCCCGGACUGCGGGUAUCAGAAGAAAACGCAUCGGCUAACUACGUGCCAGCAGCCGCGGUAAUACGGGGGAUGCGAGCGUUAUCCGGAUUUAGUGGGUUUAAAGGGUGCGUGGGCGGUCCGUUAAGUCAGCGGUAAAAUUGCGGGGCUCAACCCCGUCGAGCCGUUGAAACUGGCAGACUUGAGUUGGCGAGAAGUACGCGGAAUGCGCGGUGUAGCGGUGAAAUGCAUAGAUAUCGCGCAGAACUCCGAUUGCGAAGGCAGCGUACCGGCGCCAGACUGACGCUGAGGCACGAAAGCGUGGGGAUCGAACAGGAUUAGAUACCCGGGUAGUC
rnacentral:rRNA from 1 species